ACUCCUACGGGAGGCAGCAGUGGGGAAUAUUGCACAAUGGGGGAAACCCUGAUGCAGCCAUGCCGCGUGUGUGAAGAAGGCCUUCGAUGUAAUGCACUUUCAGUAGGGAGGAAGGUAGUGUAGUUAAGCACCUGCAUUAUUUGGACGUUACCUACAGAAGAAGCACCGGCUAANCUCCGUGCCAGCAGCCGCGGUAAUACGGAGGGUGCGAGC
rnacentral:rRNA from 1 species